rnacentral:rRNA from 1 species
CUGGCGGCGUGCCUAACACAUGCAAGUCGAACGGAGAUAUUCGCCGAAGCUGAAGGAAGCUUGCUUUGGAAGAUUCAUUAAAGUAUCUUAGUGGCGGACGGGUGAGUAACGCGUGAGGAACCUGCCUUUCAGAGGGGGAUAAACGUUUUGAAAAGAACGCUAAUACCGCAUAACAUAUAUUUAUGGCAUCAUAGGGAUAUCAAAGGAGCAAUCCGCUGAAAGAUGGCCUCGCGUCCGAUUAGCCAGUUGGCGGGGUAACGGCCCACCAAAGCGACGAUCGGUAGCCGGACUGAGAGGUUGAACGGCCACAUUGGGACUGAGACACGGCCCAGACUCCUACGGGAGGCAGCAGUGGGGAAUAUUGCACAAUGGGCGAAAGCCUGAUGCAAGCAACGCCGCGUGAGGGAAGAAGGUUUUCGGAUUGUAAACCUCUGUCCCCUGUGACGAAGACAGUGACGGUAGCAGGGGAGGAAGCCACGGCUAACUACGUGCCAGCAGCAGC